rnacentral:rRNA from 1 species
UACGUAGGGGGCGAGCGUUGUCCGGAUUUAUUGGGCGUAAAGCGCGCGUAGGCGGCGUGGCAAGUCGGCCGUGAAAGCGCCAGGCUUAACCUGGCGAGGUCGGGCGAGACUGCUAGGCUAGAGGCAGGCAGAGGGCGGUGGAAUUCCGGGUGUAGUGGUGGAAUGCGUAGAGAUCCGGAGGAACACCAGUGGCGAAGGCGGCCGCCUGGGCCUGACCUGACGCUGAGGCGCGAAAGCGUGGGGAGCGAUCCGG